AGCUUUGCGCAGUGGCGAUAUCGUAACCAAUGAGGUUUAUCCGAGGUGCGAUUAUUGCUAGUUGAAAACUUUAACCAAUACCCCGCCAUGUGGACAUGAAACACUGUCCGCUUCGGCAAUUUUUGCAGGCCCUAGCGGGC